rnacentral:rRNA from 1 species
UACGUAGGGGGCAAGCGUUGUCCGGAUUUAUUGGGCGUAAAGAGCGUGUAGGCGGCCAGGCAGGUCAGCUGUGAAAACUCGAGGCUCAACCUCGAGACGUCGGUUGAAACCGUCUGGCUAGAGUCCGGAAGAGGAGAGUGGAAUUCCCGGUGUAGCGGUGAAAUGCGCAGAUAUCGGGAAGAACACCCGUGGCGAAGGCGGCUCUCUGGGACGGUACUGACGCUGAGACGCGAAAGCGUGGGGAGCGAACAGG